UACGUAGGGACCAAGCGUUGUUCGGAUUUACUGGGCGUAAAGGGCGCGUAGGCGGCAAUUCAAGUCAUCUGUGAAAUCUCCGGGCUUAACCCGGAACGGUCAGAUGAUACUGCUUUGCUAGAGUGCGGAAGGGGCAAUCGGAAUUCUUGGUGUAGCGGUGAAAUGCGUAGAUAUCGAGAGGAACACCUGCGGCGAAGGCGGGUAGCUGGGCCGACACUGACGCUGAGGCGCGAAAGCCAGGGGAGCGAACGGG
rnacentral:rRNA from 1 species